UUACCAUCUUCAUCCCAACGGUAAGCAGCUCCAUACUAAGGAAAGAGUGAAAUAGGUGUGCUUUACUUGUAGAAGCCCGUUCCUGUCCAGAGUGAUUAGUAAGUUGUUUCACCAUGACCCCCAUUAUGGUGACUGGAAAAAGAAAAAAAAAAUAUUUGCCCAACACAGAAGUGGCACCCAAGAAGUCCUACUUAAGAGGCUUCAUACCCU
rnacentral:lncRNA from 1 species